rnacentral:rRNA from 1 species
UACGUAGGGGGCUAGCGUUGUCCGGAAUCAUUGGGCGUAAAGAGCGUGUAGGCGGCUCGGUAAGUCCGCUGUGAAAGUCCAGGGCUCAACCCCUGGAAUGCCAGUGGAAACUGUCGAGCUAGAGUCCGGAAGAGGCGAGUGGAAUUCCUGGUGUAGCGGUGAAAUGCGCAGAUAUCAGGAGGAACACCAUGGCGAAGGCAGCUCGCUGGGACGGUACUGACGCUGAGACGCGAAAGCGUGGGGAGCAACAGG